AGCAGCCGCGGUAAUUCCAGCUCCAAUAGCGUAUAUUAAAGUUGUUGCAGUUAAAAAGCUCGUAGUUGAAUUUCGGGAUCAAUUUAUCGGUCGUGCCAAUGGUAUGAACUGGUACAAUUGGUUUCUCCCUUCUGACGAAGCAUGAUGUCAUUAAUUUGGUGUCGUGGGGAAUCAGGACUGUUACUUUGAAAAAAUUAGAGUGUUUAAAGCAAGCAUUAGCUUGAAUACAUUAGCAUGGAAUAAUGAAAUGGGACGUUUGAUCCUAUUUCGUUGGUUUCUAGGAUCGACGUAAUGAUUAAUAGGGAUAGUUGGGGGCAUUAGUAUUCAAUUGUCAGAGGUGAAAUUCUUGGAUUUAUUGAAGACUAACUACUGCGAAAGCAUUUGCCAAGGAUGUUUUCAUUAAUCAAGAACGAAAGUUAGGGGAUCGAAGACGAUCAGAUACCGUCGUAGUCUUAACCAUAAACUAUGCCGACUAGGGAUCGGAUGAUGUUAAUUUUUUAAUGACUCA
rnacentral:rRNA from 1 species